GGGUGCCUGGGUGGCUCAGUCAGUUAAGCAUCCGACUUUAGCUCAGGUCACGAGCUCGUGCCCCGAGUCAGGCUCUGGGCUGAUGGCUCAGAGCCUGGAGCCUGCUUCCAAUUCUGUGUCUCCCUCUCUCUCUGCCCCUCCCCCGUUCAUGCUCUCUCUCUGUCUCAAAAAUAAAUAAACGUUAAAAAAAAUUUUUU